rnacentral:rRNA from 1 species
UGGGUGACGAGCGGCGGACGGGUGAGUAAUGUCUGGGAAACUGCCUGAUGGAGGGGGAUAACUACUGGAAACGGUAGCUAAUACCGCAUAACGUCGCAAGACCAAAGAGGGGGACCUUCGGGCCUCUUGCCAUCAGAUGUGCCCAGAUGGGAUUAGCUAGUAGGUGGGGUAAUGGCUCACCUAGGCGACGAUCCCUAGCUGGUCUGAGAGGAUGACCAGCCACACUGGAACUGAGACACGGUCCAGACUCCUACGGGAGGCAGCAGUGGGGAAUAUUGCACAAUGGGCGCAAGCCUGAUGCAGCCAUGCCGCGUGUAUGAAGAAGGCCUUCGGGUUGUAAAGUACUUUCAGCGAGGAGGAAGGCAUUGGGUUAAUAACCGC